UAGGGAAUCUUCGGCAAUGGACGAAAGUCUGACCGAGCAACGCCGCGUGAGUGAAGAAGGUUUUCGGAUCGUAAAACUCUGUUGUUAGAGAAGAACAAGGACGUUAGUAACUGAACGUCCCCUGACGGUAUCUAACCAGAAAGCCACGGCUAACUACGUGCCAGCAGCCGCGGUAAUACGUAGGUGGCAAGCGUUGUCCGGAUUUAUUGGGCGUAAAGCGAGCGCAGGCGGUUUCUUAAGUCUGAUGUGAAAGCCCCCGGCUCAACCGGGGAGGGUCAUUGGAAACUGGGAGACUUGAGUGCAGAAGAGGAGAGUGGAAUUCCAUGUGUAGCGGUGAAAUGCGUAGAGAUAUGGAGGAACACCAGUGGCGAAGGCGGCGCUCUGGUCUGUAACUGACGCGGAGGCGCGAAAGCGUGGGGAGCAAACAGG
rnacentral:rRNA from 1 species